AUUUGUGGUUCGCUUUGAUCCCGAGGGGGAACCUGAAACUCUCACAUUCCUGGCAUAGCAGCCGCCUCCGGCGCGGGCCGACCCUGGGGCUGCGCGCUGGGGCGCGAACAGCCAGAGCGUCGGCGCCACGGCCGAGAACACAUCUUCGCCGCCGAGCUGAGCUGGGCCGAGCCGGAGGUUGUGGUGUCUGACUGCGCUGGGCACCCUCGGGCCGCAGCGGUGCUCUGGGGCCAGGUGCCACCGGCCAUUGUCCAGGCAGCUGUGUGCAAGCCAAAGAAGCAUGAGGACACUGGAAGACUCCUCGGGGACAGUCCUGCACCGCCUCAUCCAGGAGCAGCUGCGCUACGGCAACCUGACUGAGACGCGCACGCUGCUAGCCAUCCAGCAGCAGGCCCUGAGGGGAUCCUGCAGGCCCAGGUGCCUCCUGUGUUCCUCCAACAGCAGCAGCAGUACCAGUACCUGCAGCAAUCUCAGGAGCACCCCCCUCCCCCACAUCCAGCUGCUCUCGGCCAUGGCCCCCUGAGCUCCCUCAGUCCACCUGCUGUGGAGGG
rnacentral:lncRNA from 1 species